AGAAGUUUGACUAAUAGUUGGAGGAAGAGCAGAAUCACAGAGAGAGUAAGCACUGAAAGUUUAUCAUUUAGGUGAAGAGAACUGCAAAAACAUUUUUCACUAAAGAGAUGUGCAAGGCUUUUAAGAACUUGCAGAAGCACACAAUCCUAGCACUUUUUCCACCCUCGACUUAAGAAGACACACUAAUGUAAUGUGCUCCUUCUCUCCAUCUUCAUUCUGUCCUCAGGGCCUCAUUUGCUUAUUUCCCAUAUCGCUGGCACUGGCCCUGUUAUUCAGAGAACUACUGUUUUACUUGGGUAGUAUCUCAGCUCUUAAGACCUCUGAUGAUAAGAUCUGUUUUUUCUAAUUGAGUUGCUGUAUUUUCAUGCAGACAUCUGUUGAAAGCACUGAAUUAAUUAAUGUAGUAGUAGCAACUAAGAAAACAUGAUUAAUCAGCUUUGUCCCCUGCCACAGUGAACUUACGAGGGCACUGAAAGAAGAUGUAUAGAAUCUGAUGGGCUCUUGUUUUAUGAUUUGUUCUUGGGGAAUAGGUUAAAUUUCUUUCUUUUCAUCCAACCCUCCACCUCCUUCUUUCCCUUCACACACUUGAACCUGGCUCCGUUCGCACAUACAAAAGAUGACCUUGCAUAUCUCAUGGCAGAGUAGAGAAGUUCUGCAUUGCCUGCAGACUGGCUGCUCUUCGAUAGGAGAUGACAAGCUCUGUCCUCCCCAGCUGCCUAUAGCUUGUAUUCAAUUGAAAAAUGCUAGAAGGAAAGUGUUUACAAUCUGUUGCUGAAAGAGCUGAUUUUUUCAGUAAAGACAUGGCUUUGAAGAUAUUUAAGUGGCAUUAAACCUACCUCAAUAGUAUAAAUAAAAAAGCAAGUUCAGCAGUUUUUAUGGCACCCUAUACUAACAAUAUUCUAAACUGUCCACUAAACAUUUUUCAUUCUCCAUGGAAUAUCAUAGAAUACUGACUGCAAUAUUUCUAUCGGUGUUCUUUUACUUGCUAAUAAUGAAAUUGCAGCGAUCAACCUUUUCAUUUAGAACUACUUGCUCCAAAAAGUAAGCACAGCCAUUUGAAACAAUUUUGUAGCUAUCUCAGAUGGAAUGUAAGUUUUAAAUUCUUGAUUGUAAGACUGCCAGCUCGUAAACAUAUUAUAAUGUA